UCAAUUUUAAUUUUAUAUGGUUUUGACAAAUGAUUUGAUGAUGUGGCACAACCAAUGUGUCAUUAAAAUAGUUUAUUAUUAAGAGUACCAAAUAUUACAUAAAAAUGAAAAUUGAAUAAUAAUAAUAAUAAUUAUUAUUAUUAUAAUAAAAUUUUGAAUUUUUAUUUUAUAAAUAAUUUGUAAUUAGUGAAAUUUGAAUAUGAUAUUUUGAGAGGAAUGCGCUCUAAUGAUUCAAACCUUCACCACUAGGCCCCAC
rnacentral:lncRNA from 1 species